GCAGAUUUAAACAUUAAACAGAAGCUGGAUGGAGACAUGGGAGUGCCAUGUUGUGUGUGUGCGCUCUGUUGGAAGAAUGUCUAUUGUACUGGGCAGCUUGGAAGUGCUGUGUGCUGUGCUGCACAACGAGGUGUUUGGCUUUGUGGCUAAAAGCAGUCAUGCUGGUUUGCUGAAGCACCUCAGAGCUGGAGCAUGUGCCUUGGGUUAUGUUUGAUUGCUGUAGCUCCUGCUAUGUUCCCAUGAGUUGGUUAAUGUGCCUGCCUAUGUGGCCUGUAACUGUGCUCUGUGGUAAUCGGAGAGUUGGUAUGGUUCCUGCUUUGCUGUACUUUAACAAAAACAAUCAGAAAAGAAAGCAUUGUUUGCUCUGAAUUCUCUUCAAUUCUGCACAGCAACUCAAAAUCAGUACCUUUAAUUAUUUGGGAGAAUGGAUAACGUGAUUAGAAAGCUGAGGAAAACUUUAUGAUUUGAGAAUUAAAUGUCAGAAAGAACCAUAUGUAUGUAGUUGAUCUCUUAAACUUUAGCUAUUCUGUGACUUCAAGUAGUUUCAUUGUGUUUUCAGUCUUUAUGCUCAUGUGCUCUUUCAUCAUCAUUGCUCAUGUCCCAGAAAACUGAGUCCAACAUAUUUUGAGAGAAAUGAUAGAAAAUAAUGAGCAACUGAAAAAAACAGGUUAGCAAACCUGAGGAAUUCUCAUGCAUGCCUUUGGAACUAACAAGUGCCUUUUCAAUAAACUGACUGCAAGAUGUAAAGUAAAAAAAAGAGCUUCCAUGUUUCCCAUCAUGAGCCACAAGAGAAAUGAACUCAGCAGAAAAAUGUCAUGUUUCAGUAGCAUGUCAAAUAUAUCUCAAAGGGUACAGGAACACAAAAGAAUCUGUAAUAAUAUCUCUGUCUUGACCCAAAGAACUAACGUCAGUACUCGUUACAAGGUAAGUGGAAUUCUGACAGCGUCAAAUAGUUUCAAAAUCUGCUAGAAAAGAUAUUGAUGCAUAAAUUGCAUUUCUAAUUUAAGACACAGCAGAGGAAAAAAAAUGUUAAAUGGGACAGAAACUGAUACUGUGUUGCAAUUUCUGGAUAAUGUGUAAUGCCUUUUCAUGAAAACCUGACAAAUUCAUUGCAUCGAUUACCCGGAAAUAAAAGAAUGUGAGCAGCAGUAAAAGCCAAGAUACAAGAAAGCACACUACAUUCAGAUAAAUUUCAAGAGCUUCAGAGCUUCCCACUCUUUGAAGGCUUUCUGGAAUAAAAACUUCCAGAAGAAGAACAUGUGUGGAAUAACACGGCUCAGUGAAAACCAGCUAAAUAAAAAAGAAGGUGACAGACAUGAAUCUUAAAGAAAGAAAUGCUGUGAUCAGGAUGCAGCUUUCUGAAGUGCUCAGAAAUGGAGAGAUGCUUUUGGAACCCAUGCUGUGCUGAAGACCUAGAUUGAGAUUCCCAGAUUCUAAUAUAAAUGUGCCAUAGCAAAGGGCUGGCUAAAUAAUUCCUGAGUAGUCAAACACAUUGUCCUGGCCAAUACUGAAAGCUGUUGCUACUGCAACUUCUGCUACCUCUACCAGCAGUGGCCACAGUCAUAGUGGGCAAGAGGCAUAUAACAACCACUGAUUUGGAUGAUUUUACUUCAACUAAAGACUGAGGUAAUGUGUUCUUAUUUUCUUAAAUAAAAACAGGAGGGCCCUAAGGAGCACGAAGAAUCUAUAGGUAAAUGGGAGCAAUAUAAGGUAGGUAGUGGAAAGAGAAUAUGAGCAGUUUUAGUUGGGUAAAAAUAGAACAGGAGACCAUAACCUAGACAUAAAAACAUUUAUUGUGUUGCAUUUGCUACUCUAUUUACCCAUUCUCGUAAUAAAUGCAGCAAGACUAAAAUACUAGGGAGAAACACCACUAUUGAAGCAAAUAAUGGAGGACAGCUGAUAUCUUGGAGACAAACAUUCAAGACCCAGAAAUACCAAUGUGUUAAAGGAUCUAAAGCAAUAACAAAAGAUUUUUUAUGCAUUUCUGAUCUUCUUUGCUUAAUAUUAACACCUAAUGAAAAUAGAGAAGGGCAUGAAUCAGCUAGCAGUGACCAUUUUUAAACAUUGCUUGUUUAAUCAUACAAACUGUUGAAUUACACAACUCCUACUGAAAUAAAUAGGAACUGUUGCUGUUGA